UGGGGCUACACACGUCAUACAAUGGCUGGUACAAAGGGUUGCCAACCCGCGAGGGGGAGCCAAUCCCAUAAAGCCAGUCGUAGUCCGGAUCGCAGUCUGCAACUCGACUGCGUGAAGUCGGAAUCGCUAGUAAUCGUGGAUCAGCAUGUCACGGUGAAUACGUUCCCGGGUCCUU
rnacentral:rRNA from 1 species